rnacentral:ncRNA from 1 species
AAGGCCUGAUGUGUGUGAGAUUACCCGCUGAAUUUAAGCAUAUAAGUAAGCGGAGGAAAAGAAACUAACUAGGAUUCCCUUAGUAAUGGCGAAUGAACAGGGAUCAGCUCAGUGCCAAAUCGGAAUCACUUGUGGUUCUGAAAUGUGGCUUGAAGGCAGUACCAGUGGCAUCGCGGACGAAAGUCUCUUGGAAAAGAGCGUCAUAGAGGGUGAGAAUCCCGUGAGUCGUUCGCCGUUUGUCACGUACGGUCUGCGUUCUAACGAGUCGCGUUCCUUGGGAUUGGAGCGUAAACGGGUGGUAAAUUUCAUCCAAAGCAAAAUAUAUACUCGAGACCGAUAGCACAAAAGUACCGUGAGGGAAAGGUGAAAAGAACUUUGAGAAGAGGGUUAAAUAGUGCCUGAAAUCGUUGAGAAGGAAGCGGAUGCCGCCGUUGCAUAUGCUGAUUGUAGGAUUGCUGCUCGCUCCUGUCUUCUGCUACUCAUUCACAGACCUGGUCGUGUUGAGCAGUUGUUUGGCAGAUGUUAGUGGUGUUUCCUACUUUCAGUCGUCAGCAUCACUGGCUGAGUGGAAAUAAUCCUUGGAUGCUAAUUGGUUCGCUAUCUGUGAAUUGGUUGCUUCCUUGCGAUACUCACUACUCGGUCAGUGAGGAAGUGCGUUUGCUGGUCACGAGCUUUCUACUGUCAUACCCUGCGCUUUUCGAUCGUCGA